GAUCAUGGCUCAGGAUUAACGCUGGCGGCGUGCCUAAUACAUGCAAGUCGAAUGGUAGUAGCAAUACAAACCAUGGCGAACGGGUGAGUAACACGUAGGUAACCUGUCUUUAAGACGAGGAUAACCAUUGGAAACGAUGGAUAAUACUGGAUAGGACAUCAUAAAGGGCAUCCUUAGAUGUUUAAAGAUUAUUAUGUCACUUAGAGAGGGGCCUGCGGCGCAUUAGCUAGUUGGUGAGGUAAAAGCCCACCAAGGCGAUGAUGCGUAGCCGGACUGAGAGGUUGAACGGCCACAAUGGAACUGAGAACGGUCCAUACUCCUACGGGAGGCAGCAGUAGGGAAUUUUCGGCAAUGGGCGCAAGCCUGACCGAGCAACGCCGCGUGAACGAAGAAGUUAUUCGUAAUGUAAAGUUCUUUUAUCUGGGAAGAAAAAACAAAUUGACGGUACCAGAUGAAUAAGCUCCGGCUAACUACGUGCCAGCAGCCGC
rnacentral:rRNA from 1 species